UACGUAGGUGGCAAGCGUUGUCCGGAUUUACUGGGCGUAAAGAGCGCGCAGGCGGCUGGUCAAGUCCGAUGUGAAAGCUCCCGGCUUAACUGGGAAAUUGCAUCGGAAACUGAUCGGCUUGAAGGUGGGAGAGGGUAGUGGAAUUCCCGGUGUAGUGGUGAAAUGCGUAGAUAUCGGGAGGAACACCAGUGGCGAAGGCGACUACCUGGCCCACUCUUGACGCUGAGGCGCGAAAGCUAGGGGAGCGAACGGG
rnacentral:rRNA from 1 species